rnacentral:lncRNA from 1 species
GCCAUUAUUAAAGUGUUAGUCACUCCAAGAAGAGCAUAUCUGGUAUUUCUGAAAGGUGAACACACUGUUCAAAUGACUUGCGAUGCCUUCCCACAAAGUUUGAGUUGCAUCAGCUCUUUCCUUGCUGUUAUGAUGAAGAGAAUGCUCCUGAUGUAGGAUUGCUAGAUUUAGCAAAUAAAAAUAAAGGAUGCUUAGUUAAAUUUGAAUUUCAGAUAAACAACAAAUAAUUUCUUAGUAUGUCUCAUGCAAAAUUUGAGAUAGACUUAAAAAUUAUGUUCCAUACAAAUUUUGAAACAUACUUCUACUAAAAAUGUACUCAUUAUUUAUCUGACAUCCAAAUGUAACUGAGCGUUGUGUGUUGUAGCGGGCAUUACUACUGGACGACGUCACUUUAAGUGGACAAGUGAGACUGCAGAUGAAGGAACUGACAGCAGCAGCUGAUACUACAAGCUAAAAGUCAAGUAGCACAUAGUGCCGCUACAGAUACUUUCUUCCUGCAAGCAAAGGGAGAUUCGGCUGGCAAACUCCACAGACAGUGGAAGCAAGGCAGAGAGGCAACUGGAAAGAGAUAGAUGGAUGAGAGCUGCCGGAAAUGAGAGCUUAGCAGAACAGAAUGUGAAAUCCAAGGACGUUUUCCAAGAGGUAGGGAUAAAGAUCUGAUAACAAUGACCUCUAUGAGGUACACUGGGAAGUUCCCAUAGCCCAGUACACUCCCCUGACUCAGGACCCUCUGCUGUGUUUCUCUUGCCCCAACAUUCAGCCCCAUUGGACUGGGUCCUGAGAAAACUUAAGCCUGGCUAUCUUCUUCAUGUGCCCAUUUGCCCUUUAGGAAGGCUCUUCGAUGUUUGACUCUCACCAAAUUACGGAGCACAGCUAACUGCUGGCCCCUCAAUCCUUGCCUCACCAGCCGAGGAAACACACCAGCCUGACUCCUGCCUUCAGUAUUUUCUGAACAGGAGGUGAGCACAAGUCUCCUCAUGUUGCAAACAGCUUUGAUUUAAUGGAUGGUUCUUUUGUGUCCGCCUCCCCCCACUUGCCUUGAGGAAGUGGGAAUGAACUACCCUCUCCUAUCCUUUUCCUUCCCAUGAGUGAGAGGGAAAAAAAUGCCACAGUACUCCCCACUCCUAAAAAUUCUCUUUAAAGAACUCAGCUGAUACAUUUCUAGCCUUUUUUUUAAGUUUACUUCUAUUUAUUUUGAGAGAGAGAGAUAAGAGAGAGAGAGAAGAAAGAGAACUCACACUCAUGAGAGUGGGGGAGGGGCAGAGAGAGAGGGAGAGAAGAGAAUCCCACUGAUAGUGCAGAGCCUGCCACAGGGCUUAAUCUCACAGACCAAACUCAUGAACCAUGAGAUCAGGACCUGAGCCAAAAUCAAUAGUCAGAUGCUUAACUGACUGAACCACCCAACUUCUCCCCUAGCCCUUUUUAAUAUAGACUAGAGUUGAGUGAUGUUCACAGAUCUAUAUGAUCGCAUAUUAAGUGUGUGCUGCAAAGAUAUAUCUAGUCCAUCGAUUCA